UCCAUCUUGUUCGAAAAAAGAUGGUUAUUUUGGCCAAUUUGUGUUAAUGCAAUGAAAGGUACCUAUAAUAAUUUUCCAAUCGUUGAUUCCUGCAACAAGCUUAGACUUAAAAGAGUUAAAGUAACUGGAGUAAAGUUCUGGUGGAUCAAAGAUCAAGGAAUGAUUUGGUUUUAACUGGUUUGCAUCUUAUGAACAAAGUACAUAAUAUGAUUUAAAUUAAUGAUUUAUAGUUACACCUAUUGAAAUUCUUUAUCUCAAUGAUAUCCUGGCUUAUCGAUACGAUAUCCUGU